rnacentral:rRNA from 1 species
UACGUAGGGUGCAAGCGUUGUCCGGAAUUAUUGGGCGUAAAGAGCUUGUAGGCGGUCUGUCGCGUCGGCUGUGAAAACCCAGGGCUCAACCCUGGACCUGCAUUCGAUACGGGCAGACUAGAGUUCGGUAGGGGAGACUGGAAUUCCUGGUGUAGCGGUGAAAUGCGCAGAUAUCAGGAGGAACACCGGUGGCGAAGGCGGGUCUCUGGGCCGAAACUGACGCUGAGGAGCGAAAGCGUGGGGAGCGAACAGG